AUUGAACGCUGGCGGCAGGCCUAACACAUGCAAGUCGAGCGCGCGGCGGACGGGUGAGUAAUGUAUGGGGACUGCCCGAUAGAGGGGGAUAACUACUGGAAACGGUAGCUAAUACCGCAUACUAUCGGAUAACCUAUAUGGAAUUAGCUAGUAGGUGAGGUAAUGGCUCACCUAGGCGAGGAUCCCGAGCUGGGCUGAGAGGAUGAUCAGCCAAACUGGGACUGAGACACGGCCCAGACUCCUACGGAGGCAGCAGUGGGGAAUAUUGCACAAUGGGCGAAAGCCGGAUGCAGCCAUGCCGCGUGUAUGAAGAAGGCCCUAGGGUUGUAAAGUACUUUCAGUCGGGAAGCGUUACCGACAGAAGAAGCACCGGCUAACUCCGUGCCAGCAGCCGCGGUAAUUC
rnacentral:rRNA from 1 species